GACGAACGCUGGCGGCGUGCUUAACACAUGCAAGUCGAGCGGAAAGGCCCUUCGGGGUCCUCGAGCGGCGAACGGGUGAGUAACACGUGCGUAACCUGCCCUCGACUUUGGGAUAACCAUCGGAAACGGGGGCUACUACUGGAGACUCCUUCUAAAUCGCGUGAUUUGGUUGGGUACGGUUGUCGGGCUGGGAUGGACUCGCGGCCUAUCAGCUUGUUGGUGGGGUAAUGGCCUACCAAGGCGAGGACGGGUAGCCGGCCUGAGAGGGGGAACGGCCACACUGGGACUGAGAGACGGCCCAGACUCCUACGGGAGGCAGCAGUGGGGAAUAUUGCACAAUGGGCGGAAGCCUGAGGCAGCGACGCCGGGUGAGGGAUGAAGGCCUUCGGGUUGUAAACCGCUUUCAGCAGGGACGAAGCGUAAGUGACGGUACCUGCAGAAGAAGCGCCGGCUAACUACGUG
rnacentral:rRNA from 1 species